rnacentral:tRNA from 1 species
UACGAAAUAGAGCAGAUUGGUAGCUCGUUGGGCUCAUAACUCAAAGGUCAAUGGUUCAAGUCCAUUUUUCAUAA